GCGAUGAGCUGAAUUGUGUAAGUCGGUGAUCACGUCCUAGUGACAACAAACGAUGUGGCGUUUGCUGAUUAUCCGCCUCAAUUUUUUGCAAGUGGGCUUCCAUAGGAAAUGGGAGCC
rnacentral:sRNA from 1 species